rnacentral:rRNA from 1 species
AAUCUGGUUUGAGAGGACGAUCAGACACACUGGAACUGAGACACGGUCCAGACUCCUACGGGAGGCAGCAGUGGGGAAUUUUCCGCAAUGGGCGAAAGCCUGACGGAGCAAUACCGCGUGAGGGAUGAAUGCCUAUGGGUUGUAAACCUCUUUUUUCAGGGAGGAACAAAAUGACGUGUACCUGAAGAAUAAGCAUCGGCUAACUCCGUGCCAGCAGCCGCGGUAAGACGGAGGAUGCAAGUGUUAUCCGGAAUCACUGGGCGUAAAGCGUCUGUAGGUGGUUUAAUAAGUCAACUGUUAAAUCUCGAGGCUCAACUUCGAAACCGCAGUCGAAACUAUUAGACUAGAGUAUAGUAGGGGUAAAGGGAAUUUCCAGUGGAGCGGUGAAAUGCGUAGAGAUUGGAAAGAACACCGAUGGCGAAAGCACUUUACUGGGCUAUUACUAACACUGAAAGACGAAAGCUACGGUAGCAAAUGGGAUUAGAUACCCCAGUAGUCCUAGCUGUA